UUAAGUUCAGCGGGUAGUCUCACCCGAUUUGAGGUCAAGGUUUUCUUUUUGUGGGUCCAGCCUCCCGCCGAUAUAGACUGGCAGUGACCAGAGCACCAUUAUUGUCAACGAGACAGUUAGGAGCAGGCGUCCAAGGAACAGAGCUAAACCCAAAACGUAGAAACAUUUUAUCACAUCAAGGAUCAGCAAAGUGGACCCCA
rnacentral:misc_RNA from 1 species